CCUACGGGGGGCAGCAGUGAGGAAUAUUGGUCAAUGGGCUGACGCCUGAACCAGCCAAGUCGCGUGAGGGAAGACUGCCCUAUGGGUUGUAAACCUCUUUUGUCAGGGAGCAAGUGGCGCUACGUGUAGCGUUAUCGAGAGUACCUGAAGAAAAAGCACCGGCUAACUCCGUGCCAGCAGCCGCGGUAAUACGGAGGAUGCGAGCGUUAGCCGGAUUGAUUGGGUUGAAGGGGUGCGUAGGCGGAAUGCCAAGUCAGCGGUAAAAUCGCGGGGCUCAACCUCGCUCCGCCGUUGAAACUGGCGUUCUUGAGUGGGCGAGAGGUAUGCGGAAUGCGUGGUGUAGCGGUGAAAUGCAUAGAUAUCACGCAGAACUCCGAUUGCGAAGGCAGCAUACCGGCGCCCAACUGACGCUGAGGCACGAAAGCGUGGGUAUCGAACAGGAUUAGAUACCCGGGUAGUC
rnacentral:rRNA from 1 species